rnacentral:rRNA from 1 species
GGAAAAGAAACCAACCGGGAUUGCCUCAGUAACGGCGAGUGAAGCGGCAAAAGCUCAAAUUUGAAAUCUGGUACCUUCGGUGCCCGAGUUGUAAUUUGUAGAAGGUAACUUUGGGGCUGGUCCUUGUCUAUGUUCCUUGGAACAGGACGUCAUAGAGGGUGAGAAUCCCGUGUGGCGAGGAAUCCAGUCCUUUGUAAAGUGCUUUCGAAGAGUCGAGUUGUUUGGGAAUGCAGCUCUAAGUGGGUGGUAAAUUCCAUCUAAAGCUAAAUAUUGGCGAGAGACCGAUAGCGAACAAGUACAGUGAUGGAAAGAUGAAAAGAACUUUGAAAAGAGAGUGAAAAAGUACGUGAAAUUGUUGAAAGGGAAGGGCAUUUGAUCAGACAUGGUGUUUUGCGCCCCUCGCUCCUUGUGGGUGGGGGAAUCUCGCAGUUCACUGGGCCAGCAUCAGUUUUGGCGGUAGGAUAAAUCUAUAGGAAUGUAACUUGCUUCGGGAAGUAUUAUAGCCUAUGGGAAUACUGCCAGCCGGGACUGAGGACUGCGACAUUCGUCAAGGAUGCUGGCAUAAUGGUUAUAUGCCGCCCGU